rnacentral:rRNA from 1 species
AUUGAACGCUGGCGGCAGGCCUAACACAUGCAAGUCGAACGAGUGGCGGACGGGUGAGUAAUGCCUGGGAAACUGCCCGAUGGAGGGGGAUAACUACUGGAAACGGUAGAUAAUAACGCAUACCAUCGGAUGUGCCCAGAUGGGAUUAGCUAGUAGGGGGGGUAAAGGCUCACCUAGGCGACGAUCCCUAGCGGGUCUGAGAGGAUGACCAUCCACACUGGAACUGAGACACGGUCCAGACUCCUACGGGCGGCAGCAGUGGGGAAUAUUGCACAAUGGGCGCAAGCCUGAUGCAGCCAUGCCUCGUGGAUGAAGAAGGCCUUCGGGUUGUAAAGUACUUUCAGCGGGGAGGCGUUACCCGCAGAAGAAGCACCGGCUAACUCCGUGCCAGCUGCCGCGGUAAUUC